rnacentral:lncRNA from 1 species
AAUUAUCUCCCAGAACAAGAUGUCUAUUAUGCUUAAUAUCUUUAGUUUGAUAUGUAUUUGUCUUAAUUCUGCCCUUUAUUCGAGUAGUUUUUCCUUCGGUAAAUUGCCUGAACCCUAUGCUUUUUUGAAUCCAAUUGUAGAUGUUAUGCCAGUCAUACCUGUUUUGUUUUGUUUUUGUUUUUUUUUUCUCUUAGCCUUUGUUUGGCAAGCUGUUGUAAGUUUUCGAUGAGAUCGUUAAUAAUAUCCUAGAAAAUUCAUGAUUUCUUCGAGAAAAAAUUCUCUAACAAUUGAUAAAAUCAGAUAAGUUUUAGAGUCUGAACCCUCGAUUCACACAUUGAAAUUCUUGGAUAGUCGCCAUAAAUCCGGCUUAGCCCAUUUCCUCUUUUUUUUUAACCCUUUUCCAUUGAAAGACCCUAACCUUAUUAUAUUAAUUAUAAUUAUAUUAGAGUGUCCCACAAUAUUGAAUUUGGAUAUGAAAGAAACUUUUGUUAAUGAAAAACUCUUAUUCCAAAUAAAUUUCUGACAGUUCAUUUUUAUUUCUAGAAAAACCUCAUUUCUUGGUGUCAAAAUAGGAUAUGUGGUAGAAAAAUGGAAGAUCUAUUCUCUCAUUUUUUUUCCCAAAAAAAAAAAUCAUCUUGGAGAUUGUGUAAAGCUUACUUUGAAACUCUUCAUUUAUACCCUAGUGAUAUUUUUUGUUCUCUCU